rnacentral:lncRNA from 1 species
UUCCAAAUGCUUUAUUUUAAAAAAAAAUUGCAAAAAUUUUAUACAUAGCAACAAAAUUGCGGUCCAGGAAAUUAUAAAAUUUUAGCAAAUUGGUACCUCAUUUUUAUCAUUAACUACAAAUCCACCAACCCCUACUUGAUGUGAAGCAUUAGCAGGUAGCAUGCUAGGUCCUUCAGGCAGCCAAUAUGUCAACAUUACAUACCCUUUCUCUGCAUGGUGAUAUUCAAAUCCUUGAUGCAACAUUGGGGGCUUGUCAAAAGACUGAAUACAAUGUGAAAAUUCGGGGAGUAUUUUUCAAUUUUCCCAAAAUAUAUCUACAACCAAAUUAUGAUUGUUGUUUUUUUCUUAUAUUGUACCGGCUUGAGAUUUAAUCUCUAUGCUUUAAUUAAGUAUAAUCCAAAUCACUAACAAGGAAUUUUUUUUAGAACCUCAAAUCCGAAAUUCCUUAAUAUUUAAAAGGUGAAAUUAUCGUUAUCAAAAUAAUUAUUUCCCACCAAUUUGUCUUAUAAAAAAAUUUCAGCUCAACUUUGCAUUUUUUCAAAAAAAAAAUUUUAAAAGAUAUCAGUGAUUUGAACCAAAGCAUAACAAAAAUAAUAAUAAUAUAAGGAUCAAAUUAUGCAAAAUUAAAAUUUAAGGACUAAAUCUUCAAGUUGAGUGUAAUACAUGGAUUAAAACUAGAAUUUAACCCAUAUCUAAAGGUUUUAAGAUCUAGAAGAAUAAGAUAGAUACCUUGACUGCAACUGGUACAAGAUCUGAUUUUUCCACCGGCAACUUAAGCCAAAUUCCCUUCUUUUCCUGCAUAUUGAUGGCUUAACAUCAGUUUCAAGUAGAUCCUUCGUUCCGAAAAGUCGCAUUAGAUUCGGCUCGGGUUAAUAUAAAUCUUAUAAAUUUUACAUUCAGAUCAUUUUAAGUUCAAAUAAUUUGAUUUCGUAUCUCAUUCCGAAUUCAAGAUUGGUUA